rnacentral:rRNA from 1 species
AUGAACCUAGCAUUCACCGCAUUAUCGAUCUUGAUGGAGAAGCCCACAAAUCAAAUGCGUGCAAUAGCCCUGCUGCUCUCCCAACUGUUGCUCGUGUGCUUUGCUUUUCAUGCGCAGUGCCGAACCACCGAGGGCAUGGACAACGAGAAAAUCAAUAUACCAGGUGGAUUGUGCGUCCAUCAUAGAGAUUGCAGCCCGGGUAAUUGUUGUUACUGGUGUCUAGUGGUGGAUGAUUGCUAUCCAUCAUUGGAGGAGUGCCAGAAAGAGUGCAAAAAACACAUCCUUGGGCGCCUCUUUAACCUCCCAUCCCCAUGA